UGGUCUGUAACUGACGCUGAGGCUCGAAAGCAUGGGUAGCGAACAGGAUUAGAUACCCUGGUAGUCCAUGCCGUAAACGAUGAUUACUAAGUGUUGGAGGGUUUCCGCCCUUCAGUGCUGCAGCUAACGCAUUAAGUAAUCCGCCUGGGGAGUACGACCGCAAGGUUGAAACUCAAAAGAAUUGACGGGGGCCCGCACAAGCGGUGGAGCAUGUGGUUUAAUUCGAAGCUACGCGAAGAACCUUACCAGGUCUUGACAUCUUCUGCCAACCUAAGAGAUUAGGCGUUCCCUUCGGGGACAGAAUGACAGGUGGUGCAUGGUUGUCGUCAGCUCGUGUCGUGAGAUGUUGGGUUAAGUCCCGCAACGAGCGCAACCCUUAUUACUAGUUGCCAGCAUUCAGUUGGGCACUCUAGUGAGACUGCCGGUGACAAACCGGAGGAAGGUGGGGACGACGUCAAAUCAUCAUGCCCCUUAUGACCUGGGCUACACACGUGCUACAAUGGAUGGUACAACGAGUUGCGAAACCGCGAGGUUUAGCUAAUCUCUUAAAACCAUUCUCAGUUCGGACUGUAGGCUGCAACUCGCCUACACGAAGUCGGAAUCGCUAGUAAUCGCGGAUCAGCAUGCCGCGGUGAAUACGUUCCCGGGCCUUGUACACACCGCCCGUCACACCAUGAGAGUUUGUAACACCCAAAGCCGGUGGGGUA
rnacentral:rRNA from 1 species